rnacentral:tmRNA from 1 species
GGGGCCGACCUGGUUUCGACGUGGAUAACGAAGCAGUGCAGGGCAUACCGAGGACCCGUCACCUCGUAAAUCAAUGGGAACUUAAGUAACUGCGAACGACGAAACGUACGCAUUGGCGGCUUAAACCCCGCCAACCUCGCACUGGCUCGCUGACGGGCUAGGGUCGCAAGACCAGCGAGGUCAUUCACGUCAGCUAAUCUCCGGCAGCGUCGCGAGGCCGGAGCCGAAAACCUAGCGACUCGCCGUAACGAAGCGUGUUCGUCCGCGUCGGUGCGGUUAAAUCAAAUGACAGAACUAAGUAUGUAGAACUGGCUGUGGACUAUUUGCGGACGCGGGUUCGAUUCCCGCCGGCUCCACCA